UAGCCGACAGGUAUGUGUUUGAUAUGAUCGAAAAUAUAUAAUAUUUACCCCCCCAAAGUGUGCAACAUAAUCAGGGCAUGUGCAGUUCUGCACAACAUAUCCCAAAUAGUUGGUCCUCCCCUUAAUCCUGACCUCAACCCCCACCAAAUGAUGACCCUGUCCCACUGCCCCCUCCCCGACAGGAAGCCUACCACUUGGGAGCGAGGAUAGGAGAGGAUGUGAUGCGGCGUUUGUGAAAAUACAAACAAAUGCAAAGCACAGCAUCGGUCAGCACGCGCCCAGAGGUGCCAAGGCGCACGGGACGCACUGUGGCUGGGGACUGGCUGCCGCCCUGCAGCUGCCUCCUCCCUGGGGGCUUCCAAGCCGGGGGCAUCCUCUCCACCUACUGCCCCCAUCGACUCUGGAGGAACAAACAUAAUUAUCGUACUUUAACACAAGUGUAAUUCCGAAUUUAAUAAAACAAAUCUAAUUGUG